GUAGGCUGCAACUCGCCUACAUGAAGUUGGAAUCGCUAGUAAUCGCGAAUCAGAAUGUCGCGGUGAAUACGUUCCCGGGUCUUGUACACACCGCCCGUCACACCAUGGGAGUCAGUAACGCCCGAAGUCAGUGACCUAACCGCAAGGGAGGAGCUGCCGAAGGCGGGACCGAUAACUGGGGUGAAGUCGUAACAAGGUAUC
rnacentral:rRNA from 1 species